rnacentral:rRNA from 1 species
CUACUAGGGUUUCUAAUCCUGUUUGCUCCCCACGCUUUCGCACAUGAGCGUCAGUACAUUCCCAAGGGGCUGCCUUCGCCUUCGGUAUUCCUCCACAUCUCUACGCAUUUCACCGCUACACGUGGAAUUCUACCCCUCCCUAAAGUACUCUAGCUACCCAGUCUGAAAUGCAAUUCCCAGGUUAAGCCCGGGGAUUUCACACCUCACUUAAAUAGCCGCCUGCGUGCCCUUUACGCCCAGUUAUUCCGAUUAACGCUCGCACCCUCCGUAUUACCGCGGCUGCUGGCAC